rnacentral:rRNA from 1 species
UACGUAGGGGCAAGCGUUGUCCGGAUUUAUUGGCGUAAAGAGCUACGUAGGCGGUUCAGCAAGUUCGGGUGUGAAAAAUCUGGGCUCAACCCAGUGAAGCACCGAUACUGCUGUGACUAGAGUCCGGGUAGGGAGUGUGGAAUUCCUGGUGUAGCGGUGAAAUGCGCAGAUAUCAGGAGGAACACCAACGGCGAAGGCAGCACUCUGGCGGUACUGACGCUGAGGAGCGAAAGCGUGGGGGAGCGAACAGG